UACGUAGGGCGCAAGCGUUGUCCGGAAUUAUUGGGCGUAAAGAGCUCGUAGGCGGUCUGUUGCGUCCGCUGUGAAAUCCCAGGGCUUAACCCUGGGCUGGCAGUGGAUACGGGCAGACUAGAGGUAGGUAGGGGAGAAUGGAAUUCCCGGUGUAGCGGUGAAAUGCGCAGAUAUCGGGAGGAACGCCGGUGGCGAAGGCGGUUCUCUGGGCCUUACCUGACGCUGAGGAGCGAAAGCGUGGGGAGCGAUCAGG
rnacentral:rRNA from 1 species